rnacentral:lncRNA from 1 species
UUCUAAGUCCCCAAAAAAUCUAAACCUCCUUACUAUACAUUGGUCUUGGUCAUUCCUAGCCAUUGGAUCAAAAGCACUUUCUCUAGAUCAAAUCCUAGCCAUCCAUUUUACUUUAACAAAUAUCUAGAUAUUUUCUCUCACGCCCCACAGCUCUCGCGCGCCGCGACGAGCAAAACUCGUAAAAACAGAAAACUUACGGAACGGAAG